AAAUGGUAGAAUACAAAGGGUCGAUGUGAAUGGACAGCGAUCACCUGGGUCAUUGGUCUCUAUGGGUGUACCACAGGGGUCAAUAUUGGGGCCUUUCCUGUUCCUUAUCUACAUAAAUGACUUGCCAUACCUUGUUAAGACCCACCAUGAUAUAGUAUUGUUUGCAGACGACACCUCACUUAUUUUCAAAGUCAAACGACAGCAACAAGCUUACAAUGAUGUAAACAAUGCUAUUUCAAAAGUAGUAAAUUGGUUCAAUGUUAAUAAUUUAAUGUUAAAUGAGAAAAAAACUAAAUGUAUUAAGUUUGUCACUAGUAGUAACGUAAGGCAUGUGCAAGCAAGUGUCAUUGUGAAGGAUGAGGAAUUAGAAUUAGUUGAUAGUACAGUUUUUCUUGGUAUAACUUUAGAUUCUAAACUCCAGUGGGGUCCCCAUAUUGCUACUCUUUCGAAUAGACUGAGCUCUGCAGCUUUUGCAGUGAGCAAAAUCCGUCAGUUAACUGAUGUGAAAACAGCUCGAUUAGUAUAUUUUAGUUACUUCCAUAGCAUUAUGGCAUAUGGUAUUUUACUGUGGGGCGGUGCUUCAGAGAUAAAUACCAUUUUUGUUCUGCAGAAGAGGGCUAUUCGAGCAAUAUACAAAAUGAACCAUAGAGACUCACUUAGAGAUAAAUUUAAGGAAAUUGACAUAAUGACAGUGCACUGUCAAUACAUUUAUGAGAAUAUUCUGUAUUGCCCUUCACUCGGCUCCAUAAAAUUAAAAAAUCAUUCAUGGGUAAUUGUGUAAGAUUUUAUAAUAAACUUCCAAACCAUAUUACUGAAUUAUCUAUUAAUAAAUUUAAGAAUUAUGUAAAGCGUAAACUUAUUUCCAAAGCUUAUUAUACCACACAGGACUACAUGAAUGAUAAUACAACGUGGGAUUAAUUGUUAUUCGAAAUGAUUAUUUAUUUAUUAGGUAUAUUUGAUUAUUGAUGAGGAAAUGGAUAUUCCGAUGUAAUAUUAUCUACUUGUUUGUUACUUAUGCUUUUUUUUGACAUUUAGAUUUUAUUCUAGAAAUUCUAGACUAGUAUUUUUUUAUACAAUUUUUUUUAAAAUGUUUGACGAUCCUUUUGUGAAAUUCUUAGUGUUAAAUUUGACAUGUAUAAUAAUCCAAUUUUAUUAUGGAAUAAUAUUAACCUCAAUAAAUUGCUCUGAUAAUUAGAUUAAGAUUAAUUACGAUUCAUAAGAGCUUGUUGCUAGGCCUACAUGAAUAAAGUAUAUUUUGAUUUUGAUUUUUUGAUUUUGCAGCUGCACUACCUGUACUGAACGCGUCGCUGUCAUUGUCAAUUUCCAUAGUAAAAUGAACAGUAAUGCAGCUGUCGUUGGAAAUGGACUGUCACCUUAAGCCUUAAUAUUUGUAUGUUUUUGACGCGACAUCAUUGAGAAUAUUUCUUUGGGGAAGUGUGCAUGUAAGAUUGAGAAGGUAAAAUCUAGAAGUCAUCUGUUUAAGUUAUUUUGUUAUUGUUAGUGUCUUAAUAAUUUAAACUAUUUGUGGGAAGAUUUGGUGUGUGUGGAUGACUCACGUUAACUUCAUAAAAUGUUAUUGUCGUCAUAUUUGUUGGAAAUUAUAUUCUCAACUCUGGCACACCAAAUGUCAUUCUGUCCUCUUUCCUUGAUGGCUAUCUCUAUGGCCGCUGUGUUUGCUAUCCUCAAGUUAAAUUAUAUUAUAAUUAAUAGGUUAUGUGUGUUAUCGUGUGUCCUGUCCUGAUAAAUAUGAAGAGAUUGUAUGGUGAGUAAUACACAUUGCUUCAUCUGCAGAACCA